rnacentral:lncRNA from 1 species
GUCAGUGUUGGUACAUGUACAAAUGUACUUGGAUGAUGCGGCCUAAUAGUUUCGUUUUACACACCCUAGUCACUGUUCAAUAUUAUGAAUACAGAGAUGAAACGCUGACAUUCUCAAUGUAUGCGGAAAAAAAAUUGCAUUAAUUGUUUUCCUUAUUGCUUACAUUUGCCUCCCUACUAACAUGUUCACAGGAGUGCCAGGAGCAGACAUAAUUAGGCGCCAUCCCAACAGCGGUCAUUUAUUUUAUACAUUGAAUCCAGACAUCAAAAAUAUGGCUGAUUUACUAUGCGGAUAUAUAUAGAUUUUUAAAUUAAAGUGCACAUAUGCAGGUCAGUUUUUGGUCGAUGCAGUCAAAUAAUUUUGUUGUAUAAGUCAGCAUGAGGUAUCAUAUCUACUGAAAUUUUGUUACGUAUCAAUAUUUUGAAUAAAAGGAGGACAUGCUGACAUCCAAAAUUAAUGCAAACAAAAAUGUGUUGUUAUUAUAUUGCAAUAUUACUGUCCAUUGUA